rnacentral:rRNA from 1 species
AGAGUUUGAUCCUGGCUCAGAAUGAACGUUGGCGGCGUGGAUUAGGCAUGCAAGUCGAGCGAGAACCCAGCAAUGGGGGACAGCGGCGAAAGGGACAGUAAUGUGUAGAUCAUCUGCCCUCAGGUCCGGGAUAGCUGCGGGAAACUGCAGGUAAUACCGGAUAACAUCUCCGGAUCAAAGGUGUGAUUCCGCCUGAGGAUGAGUCUACAUCCUAUUAGCUAGUUGGUAGGGUAAUGGCCUACCAAGGCUUUGAUGGGUAGCGGGUGUGAGAGCACGACCCGCGUCAUUGGGACUGAGACACUGCCCAGACACCUACGGGUGGCUGCAGUCGAGAAUCUUCGGCAAUGGGCGCAAGCCUGACCGAGCGACGCCGCGUGCGGGAUGAAGGCCUUCGGGUUGUAAACCGCUGUCAGAGGGGAUGAAAUGCAGGUGGGUUCUCCCAUCUGUUUGACAUAGCCUCAGAGGAAGGACGGGCUAAGUUCGUGCCAGCAGCCGCGGUAAGACGAACCGUCCAAACGUUAUUCGGAAUCACUGGGCUUAAAGGGUGCGUAGGCGGCGCGGAAAGUUGGGUGUGAAAUCCCUCGGCUCAACCGAGGAACUGCGCCCAAAACUACCGUGCUCGAGGGAGAUAGAGGUGAGCGGAACUUAGGGUGGAGCGGUGAAAUGCGUUGAUAUCCUAAGGAACACCGGUGGCGAAAGCGGCUCACUGGAUCUCUUCUGACGCUGAGGCACGAAAGCUAGGGUAGCAAACGGGAUUAGAUACCCCGGUAGU